CUCAACUGUCCACACUCUGUCCAAGAGCUGCUUGGCUGAUGCUCACGCGGCGAGGCUGGUGAAAUGCUCAUCGCAGAAUGGACUUCGCCUGAGAUUAUGAGCACAGACCUUGCAUGAUGUAUCCCGUGUCGUAUACGGUCGCAGCGUGUUUCGUCCACGAUAGGAACAUG